UUAGCGGCGGACGGGUGAGUAACACGUGGGUAACCUGCCCAUAAGACUGGGAUAACUCCGGGAAACCGGGGCUAAUACCGGAUAACAUUUUGAACCGCAUGGUUCGAAAUUGAAAGGCGGCUUCGGCUGUCACUUAUGGAUGGACCCGCGUCGCAUUAGCUAGUUGGUGAGGUAACGGCUCACCAAGGCAACGAUGCGUAGCCGACCUGAGAGGGUGAUCGGCCACACUGGGACUGAGACACGGCCCAGACUCCUACGGGAGGCAGCAGUAGGGAAUCUUCCGCAAUGGACGAAAGUCUGACGGAGCAACGCCGCGUGAGUGAUGAAGGCUUUCGGGUCGUAAAACUCUGUUGUUAGGGAAGAACAAGUGCUAGUUGAAUAAGCUGGCACCUUGACGGUACCUAACCAGAAAGCCACGGCUAACUACGUGCCAGCAGCCGCGGUAAUACGUAGGUGGCAAGCGUUAUCCGGAAUUAUUGGGCGUAAAGCGCGCGCAGGUGGUUUCUUAAGUCUGAUGUG
rnacentral:rRNA from 2 species